UGGAAAUAGCUCAGUUGGGACAAAGCGUUAGACUGAAGAUCUAAAGGUCCCUGGUUCGAUCCCGGGUUUGGCAG
rnacentral:tRNA from 1 species